rnacentral:lncRNA from 1 species
GCUGGCUGCCCGGCAGGCGGAGAAGGAAGGAGGAAGAGCGGAGGCCAGGGCGGGCUCUAGGCCGUGGAAUCUGGGGCCUUAAAGCCCCUUCGUCUCCCCAGCACCCACUCUCUGGGGGCAGUAACCUUCAGGGAGCCCUGAAGACCAUGGAGGACUACUGACCAACAACCUCUGACCUUCACCCCUCUGGAUGGGGGACGAAUCACUAGGCAAAGGGGAACAAUGGGAAGGAGACAAAAUGGCUGCCUUUACAGCUGCAGCAAGAUGUGGAAACACUGGUUCCCUAGGCACCUCCAUUGUCUUCCCGCCUUGGGAGCAUGAAAUAAAUAAAGUGUGAAGGGGAACAUGAGGAAGACUGAUCCAAGUCACUUGACCUGUCUUUUGUCUAGUUGUUUAUCUCAUCUUAGCCUCCCAGCAACUCAGGAUUGGGGCUGCGACGUCUGCUUUGUCUUUCAUGAUACUCAACCCCAAGCAGAGAAAAAUAUCUUAAAAAUCGAAGCAGAUUAACCCAGUCCCUCUGUUCAGAUCCACCUGCUGCCCUAUCUGCAUUUGGCAGUUCCUGGACAUACUUUGCACCUAUGUUUUGUCUGAGUUCCACAUCUUCCUUGUCUCCCCGCAGGGAUGGGAAAUGGGCAGUAGUGGGAGAUUCAGGUAUAAACGGUGGCUCUGUUUCUCUGGUGCCUGAGAUUCGGGAAGGCCUGUCUUGGGAAGAUAAGUGUCAGCUUAUCUGUGGACUGAACAGACAGGCACCUGUUCUGUUGGCCCCGGAACUGCGGGCAUGAAAAGCCCACCUCCCCAGGGGAGGCCUGUUAGCUAGCAGCUCCUCACGCCUGGUGACUGAGAAAUGGAGUCUGGGGGGCCUACAGCAGGCCACGCGAUCCACUGGGCUUCUGGGCACAGAAGUGCCUCAACAGGCACAGGCAGGCUCCCCACAGCCACAAGGAACCCUGCU